rnacentral:rRNA from 1 species
UGGGGAAUAUUGGACAAUGGGCGCAAGCCUGAUCCAGCCAUGCCGCGUGAGUGAUGAAGGCCUUAGGGUUGUAAAGCUCUUUCGCCGACGAAGAUAAUGACGGUAGUCGGAGAAGAAGCCCCGGCUAACUUCGUGCCAGCAGCCGCGGUAAUACGAAGGGGGCUAGCGUUGUUCGGAAUCACUGGGCGUAAAGCGCACGUAGGCGGAUUGUUAAGUCAGGGGUGAAAGCCUGGAGCUCAACUCCAGAACUGCCCUUGAUACUGGCAAUCUCGAGUCCGGAAGAGGUAAGUGGAACUGCGAGUGUAGAGGUGAAAUUCGUAGAUAUUCGCAAGAACACCAGUGGCGAAGGCGGCUUACUGGUCCGGUACUGACGCUGAGGUGCGAAAAGCGUGGGGAGCAAAACAGGAUUAGAUACCCUGGUAGUCCACGCCGUAAAACGAUGGAGGCUAGCCGUUGGCGAGCAUGCUCGUCAGUGGCGCAGCUAACGCAUUAAGCCUCCCGCCUGGGGAGUACGGUCGCAAGAUUAAAAACUUAAAAUGAAAUUGAC